CAGUGAUCCUAUGCUGCCGAGAAAAGCCUCUAGUGAGUUCAUACACGGCCCGUACCCCAAACCGACACAGGUGAUCAGGUAGAGAAUACCAAGGCGAUCGAGAGAACUGUGGUUAAGGAACUCGGCAAAAUGCCCCCGUAACUUCGGGAGAAGGGGGACCACGCCCGGUGACGAUCCUUGCGAUCUGAGCUGGGGGUGGUCGCAGAGACCAGAGAGAAGCGACUGUUUACUAAAAACACAGGUCCGUGCGAAGACGUAAGUCGAUGUAUACGGACUGACGCCUGCCCGGUGCUGGAAGGUUAAGAGGACCGGUUAGCCGCAAGGCGAAGCUGAGAAUUUAAGCCCCAGUAAACGGCGGUGGUAACUAUAACCAUCCUAAGGUAGCGAAAUUCCUUGUCGGGUAAGUUCCGACCUGCACGAAUGGCGUAACGACUUCUCUGCUGUCUCGACCACAGACUCGGCGAAAUUGCACUACGAGUAAAGAUGCUCGUUACGCGCGGCAGGACGAAAAGACCCCGGGACCUUUACUAUAGCUUGGUAUUGGCGUUCGAUUCGGUUUGUGUAGGAUAGGUGGGAGACUGUGAAGCAUGCACGCCAGUGUGUGUGGAGUCGUUGUUGAAAUACCACUCUGAUCGUAUUGGACGUCUAACCUCGGCCCAUGAUCUGGGUUAGGGACAGUGCCUGGUGGGUAGUUUAACUGGGGCGGUUGCCUCCUAAAGAGUAACGGAGGCGCCCAAAGGUUCCCUCAGCCUGGAUGGCAAUCAGGUGUUGAGUGCAAGUGCACAAGGGAGCUUGACUGUGAGACUGACACGUCGAGCAGGGACGAAAGUCGGGACUAGUGAUCCGGCACCGGCAAGUGGAAGCGGUGUCGCUCAACGGAUAAAAGGUACCCCGGGGAUAACAGGCUGAUCUUCCCCAAGAGUCCAUAUCGACGGGAUGGUUUGGCACCUCGAUGUCGGCUCGUCGCAUCCUGGGGCUGGAGUAGGUCCCAAGGGUUGGGCUGUUCGCCCAUUAAAGCGGCACGCGAGCUGGGUUUAGAACGUCGUGAGACAGUUCGGUCUCUAUCCGCCGCGCGCGUAAGAAACUUGAGGAAGGCUGUCCCUAGUACGAGAGGACCGGGACGGACGAACCUCUGGUGUGCCAGUUGUUCCACCAGGAGCAUCGCUGGUUAGCUACGUUCGGAAGGGAUAACCGCUGAAAGCAUCUAAGCGGGAAGCCUGUUCCAAGAUGAGGUUUCUCACCACCUUCGCGUGGUUAAGGCCCCCCACAGACCAUGGGGUUGAUAGGCCGGAACUGGAAGCGCAGCAAUGCGUGCAGGUGACCGGUACUAAUCGGCCGAGGGCUUACACACAA
rnacentral:rRNA from 1 species